UCAGUUGGUUAGAGCAUCCGGCUCAUAACCGGAUGGUCCCAGGUUCGAGUCCUGGCCGAUCCACCA
rnacentral:tRNA from 1 species